rnacentral:rRNA from 1 species
UACGUAGGGACCAAGCGUUGUUCGGAUUUACUGGGCGUAAAGGGCGCGUAGGCGGCGUGACAAGUCACUUGUGAAAUCUCUGGGCUUAACCCAGAACGGCCAAGUGAAACUGUUGUGCUAGAGUGCAGAAGGGGCAUUCGGAAUUCUCGGUGUAGCGGUGAAAUGCGUAGAUAUCGAGAGGAACACCAGAGGUGAAGACGGGUUGCUGGGCUGACACUGACGCUGAGGCGCGAAAGCCAGGGGAGCAAACGGG